rnacentral:rRNA from 1 species
CCGGUUGAUCCUGCCGGAGGCUACCGCUAUUGGAGUUCGAUUAAGCCAUGCGAGUCGCGAGUCUUAGGGACUCGGCGUACCGCUCAGUAACACGUGGGUAACCUGCCCUAUGCUGGGGGAUAACCUCGGGAAACUGAGAAUAAUACCCCAUAGUUCACCAUGCCUGGAACGGUUGGUGGACCAAAGCUCCGGCGGCAUAGGAUGGGCCUGCGGCGUAUCAGGUUGUAGGGGGUGUAAUGUACCCUCUAGCCCUCUACGCGUACGGGUGUUGAGAGACAUCGCCCGGAGAUGGAUUCUGAGACACGAAUCCAGACCCUACGGGGUGCAGCAGGCGCGAAAACUUGGCAAUGCGAGAAAUCGUGACCAGGGAACUCCAAGUGCAUCGGGUAAGACCGAUGCUUUUCUUGACUCUUCAAAGGUCUUGGAAUAAGGGGUGGGUAAGGACGGUGCCAGCCGCCGCGGUAAUACCGGCGCCCCAAGUGGUAGUCGCUUUUAUUGGGCCUAAAACGUCCGUAGCCGGUCUGGUACAUUCGUGGGUAAAUCAACCAGCUCAACUGGUUGAAUUCUGCGAGCACGGCCAGACUUGGGACCGGGAGAGGUGUGGGGUACUCUCAGGGUAGGGGUAAAAUCCUGUCAUCCUGAGAGGACCACCUGUUGCGAAGGCGCCACACUAGAACGGAUCCGACGGUCAGGGACGAAGCCUAGGGGCACGAACCGGAUUAGAUACCCGGGUAGUCCUAGGUGUAAACGCUGUGGACUUGAUGUUGGGGGCGCUCCGAGCGCACUCAGUGUCGAAGCGAAGGUGAUAAGUCCACUGCCUGGGGAGUACGGUCGCAAGGCUGAAACUUAAAGGAAUUGGCGGGGGAGCACCGCAACCUGAGGAUUGUGCGGUUUAAUUGGAUCAACGCCGG